rnacentral:rRNA from 1 species
UGCAUAUCAAAAGCGGAGGAAAAGAAACCAACAGGGAUUGCCUUAGUAACGGCGAGUGAAGCGGCAAAAGCUCAAAUUUGAAAUCUGGCACCUUCGGUGUCCGAGUUGUAAUUUGAAGAAGGUAACUUUGGAGUUGGCUCUUGUCUAUGUUCCUUGGAACAGGACGUCACAGAGGGUGAGAAUCCCGUGCGAUGAGAUGCCCAAUUCUAUGUAAAGUGCUUUCGAAGAGUCGAGUUGUUUGGGAAUGCAGCUCUAAGUGGGUGGUAAAUUCCAUCUAAAGCUAAAUAUUGGCGAGAGACCGAUAGCGAACAAGUACAGUGAUGGAAAGAUGAAAAGAACUUUGAAAAGAGAGUGAAAAAGUACGUGAAAUUGUUGAAAGGGAAGGGCUUGAGAUCAGACUUGGUAUUUUGCGAUCCUUUCCUUCUUGGUUGGGUUCCUCGCAGCUUACUGGGCCAGCAUCGGUUUGGAUGGUAGGAUAAUGACUAAGGAAUGUGGCUCUACUUCGGUGGAGUGUUAUAGCCUUGGUUGAUACUGCCUGUCUAGACCGAGGACUGCGUCUUUUGACUAGGAUGUUGGCAUAAUGAUCUUAAGCCACCCGUCUUGAA